ACUAGUAAAAAUCUUUAUUGUUAAUUUUUUUCCCUCCAACAUAUGAUAUAAUUUUAGUCCAAAUAUGGAGCCACAGCAACACCUUUGCUUCUGCUCAAAUGACAAGACAGAUUGGGGUCGUCACUGUUCCGAGAGGGAGGCCGAGACCUCGGCAAGGGUGGACUGGGGCAGAGCGCGCACCACAGGCCAGGACUCGGAGCCUUUAUGGGAGCUACAGGUACAGAGAGAGGGCAAACAGCAACACGGCACCGGCGCCUGGUGACAGAUGUCACAACCUGGGGGAGAAGGGCUGGAAAAAGCUUUUUCCCCAGGGGCUCAGCUGGAGCUACAGGACAGAGCCAGGAGUGAGUGUGUCUGUGGGGGCACAUGCGCACGUGUGCCUGCACACACGGACCACCUCUCCCAGAAGACAACGCUCUUCAGGCCCCUGCUGGAGUCCCCACAGUCCUUGUUCCUUGGGGAUCAACGGUCUUUGCAGGUUAACCUGAGCAGGUCAGCUAAGCAGGGCUGGGGGCCCAUGUGUGGAGGUCAUGGCCAUCUAAACUGUGACCUUCUGGUGCAAGGCCCAGGCAAUGCUCAGAGGACAGCAUGAACCGCCCACACAGUUCCAGGGCAGCUCCAGUGAUCCAUGACCGCCCCAGCCCUGAGAAGGGGGAAAUUUGGCUCAAGAAUCUUCUCCUGGCUCUGGGCACCUGGGGCAUUUACUAUCUCAGGAGGAGGGUGGAGGCUCCCCGUCCUCCUGAGGCCGGCAUCUUCCUCCACUCCCCACCCAGGGUCCACUCUGGUGAAAGAUAACAGGGAGGAGGGGGGGCUAUCCCCAAGGGCAGAAGGGGGGGCAGGUGAGAAGACCUGGGGUUCUCUUCCAGCCCUUUACAUACGGCUGCUCUGCAGUGUGUUUCUGGGGACUGGGUUGAGGGCCAGCCUGAUGGGACCUGCUCAGCGAAGGUCCCAGUUGGCACUUCGUAAAUAAACGACGACUCUGUCCACUGCAGGCUGACAUGAGAGAGACCCUUCUGAAGGCAGUGCAGUGAGGGGCACGGGUCUGGGCUCUGAGAGAACCCGGAGUGCUGGCCAGGGCCUACAGCCCAGCAGCAGGUGCCUUGAGAGCCUGGCUGGCAGAGGUCGGGGCUGGGUAUUUAGAGCCAAAGGCCUCUAGGGCCUUGUGAGCCAAGCUGGGGCCUCUGUGAGGGUUCUAGGUUCCCAGGCAGAGACCUCUGCUCCACUGUGGGGUCUCCCGGCUGGGAGCAGCUCCCGCCCUUUACCCAGGGAGCCCUGGAUGAGGCUUCAGGAAGCAGAGAUGGGGUGAAUGGCUGGAGAGCCAGAGCCGCCCAGUGCACUGCUCCUCUGCUCAGCAGGGGCAGGCCAGAGAGGCCCUGCCGGCGCUCCAGCACUUCCAUUCCCCCGAUGGGGAGCUGGCUGCUGGCCAACUCAUGGAACUGAUGCACAUAAAUCCUGCCUAAUGAUCACCUCUAAGCUCUGCCCGGCUGGUCCAGGACAGCACAAACCUCCUUGGGGGCUCUGUUUUCCAGCUGUAGACCAUGCACGGGGUCUUGAAGGGUCCCCUUGCCAGUGGAGCCAGGUGUGGUCACUAAAACAAAUGCACAUUGCAGGUGGACUGAGCCCCCUAAGGUGGGGGGGAGCCCAUGGCAACGGGAGUCAUGGAGGAGCCAAUGAGAAACCGAACACACAUCUCAGAAGCCAAUCAAAUGCAAACACAAACAUGUGAAAGUAGCAAGCUCUUUGUGUAAUAAAUAUUGCAAAGCGCACUUGGUUUCUUUCUUUUUUUUUUUUUUCUUUUCAAGUCAAAUAUAACAACCAAUGUCCCAAACCCUGUUUUCAGCAUUCAAAAGAGAGAAGCUGGUGCUACCAGCAGAACACCUGCAGCCAAUCACAGAAAAAAAAAAAAAAGUUUCCCACUAGCUGGCCAAUCAGAAUCCUUUUCCAGUUUAAGCAGCCAAUCGGGCCUCUUCACAUUCCUAAAAAGUGACCUAAAUAAAGCACCAGAUCUCGGAGAGCUUCCUGGGAAGCCAUCUACCGAGGCGCAAAUUAAAAAAAAAAAAAAAGGAAAAAGGAAAAAGGAAAAGAAAAGAAAUAAAAAUAAA
rnacentral:lncRNA from 1 species